rnacentral:rRNA from 1 species
CCUACGGGGGGCAGCAGUGGGGAAUAUUGCACAAUGGGCGCAAGCCCGAUGCAGCCAUGCCGCGUGUGUGAAGAAGGCCUUCGGGUCGUAAAGCACUUUCAGCGGGGAGGAAGGCGGUGAGGUUAAUAACCUCAUCGAUUGACGUUACCCGCAGAAGAAGCACCGGCUAACUCCGUGCCAGCAGCCGCGGUAAUACGGAGGGUGCAAGCGUUAAUCGGAAUUACUGGGCGUAAAGCGCACGCAGGCGGUCUGUCAAGUCGGAUGUGAAAUCCCCGGGCUCAACCUGGGAACUGCAUUCGAAACUGGCAGGCUAGAGUCUUGUAGAGGGGGGUAGAAUUCCAGGUGUAGCGGUGAAAUGCGUAGAGAUCUGGAGGAAUACCGGUGGCGAAGGCGGCCCCCUGGACAAAGACUGACGCUCAGGUGCGAAAGCGUGGGGAGCAAACAGGAUUAGAUACCCUAGUAGUC